GACAGAGGUGGCUAGCGUUGUUCGGAUUCAUUGGGUGUAAAGGGUGCGUAGGCGGUUUGGAAAGUCGGAUGUGAAAGCCCACAGCUCAACUGUGGAAAUGCAUCCGAAACUUCCAGACUCGAGUGCGAGAGAGGUGAAGGGAAUUCCCGGUGUAAGGGUGAAAUCUGCAGAGAUCGGGAGGAACACCAGUAGCGAAGGCGCUUCACUGGCUCGCAACUGACGCUGAGUGCACGAAGGCGUGGGGAGCAAACGGG
rnacentral:rRNA from 1 species